rnacentral:rRNA from 1 species
UACGUAGGUGGCAAGCGUUGUCCGGAUUUACUGGGCGUAAAGAGCGCGCAGGCGGUCGAUCAAGUCGCGUGUGAAAGCCCCCGGCUCAACUGGGGAGGGUCACGCGAUACUGAUCGACUCGAAGGCAGGAGAGGGUAGUGGAAUUCCGGGUGUAGCGGUGGAAUGCGUAGAGAUCCGGAAGAACACCGGUGGCGAAGGCGGUUAGCUGGGCAGUUGCUGACACUGAGGCGCGACAGCGUGGGGAGCAAACAGG